rnacentral:rRNA from 1 species
UACGGAGGGGGCCAGCGUUGUUCAGAAUUAUUGGGCGUAAAGGGCGCGUAGGCGGUCGAGUAAGUCUGACGUGAAAUCCCUUGGCUCAACCAAGGAACUGCGUCUUAAACUGCUCGGCUUGAGUCCGGGAGAGGGUAGUGGAAUUCCCAGUGUAGCGGUGAAAUGCGUAGAUAUUCGGAAGAACACCAGUGGCGAAGGCGACUCACUGGACAUGUAUUGACGCUGAGGUACGAAAGCGUGGGGAGCAAACAGG